GGAGUGGUGAGAAUAAAAAAUGGGGUCCCAUGCAGGAACAUCAGCUCAGCAGCACCAAGGGACAUGGAGGCUUAGGGAGGACAGGCUGGCACCACCAGGACCACCUCCAAAGACCCAGUAGCCUCCCGUUGCCCUUUCUGCAAGGAAGGUCGGAGUGGCCCUACAGCAACUGAUCCCCUUUUGCCCUGACGCUGUUUUCCUGCCAAAGGAGUGCACUGGGCUUGCCCCCUGCAGGGGUGCAGAUCCCCAGGAGGGCAGCAAGAGCUUCAAGUCCUUGUGCUCCUGCAGUCCCGCCUCUGCCCUUGUCUGUUGUCCUGGAGUGAGGGAGGGACUGGGAGGGCUGGGAGUGAGGGCAGGGCUAGGGGUGCAGGCAGGGCAGCUGUGGGCAGAGCUCUCCUGCAGGCAGAGGGUAGGGGGAGGGAGACAGGAGAGAGCAGGGCUGGCCAUGGGGGCUGCCAUGUGCGUGGGGUUCUUGCCCAUCGUAGUCACUGGCCAGGCAGUCUUGGAGCAGCUCAUCAGGGAAGUGGCUGUGCGAGAGGGAGAUGGAGUCACCUUCCAGUGUAGCAUGAGUGGGGACGGGAUGAGCCACUACAACAUGUUCUGGUACCAGCUGGGGCCACGUGGUAAUCUGGACGUUAUUUCCCGGAAUGAUGUUGCCUACGGAAAAGGUUUCCAGGAUCGCUUUAAGAGUUCAGUGGAGGUUGUCCAGAACAGAUUCACACUGGAGAUCAAGGCAGCAAAGCAAGGGGAUCAAGCAGUUUAUUACUGUGCUGCUGGUCUCACCUUGGUGCAGCUCUGCAGCAGAGCGGACCAAAAACUGACUGAGAGAGAAUACAGAUGUGGCAGCAUUUCUUUCUAA